rnacentral:rRNA from 1 species
UACGAAGGGGGCUAGCGUUGCUCGGAAUCACUGGGCGUAAAGGGUGCGUAGGCGGGUUUUAAGUCAGGGGUGAAAUCCUGGAGCUCAACUCCAGAACUGCCUCGAUACUGAGAGUCUCGAGUCCGGGAGAGGUGAGUGGAACUGCGAGUGUAGAGGUGAAAUUCGUAGAUAUUCGCAAGAACACCAGUGGCGAAGGCGGCUCACUGGCCCGGUACUGACGCUGAGGUGCGAAAGCGUGGGGAGCAAACAGGAGUUAGAAACC